AAACAAAAUAAACAGAGAGGUUCCCGCAGCGCGCAGAGCACUGAGAGAAGAGCCGGGAGAAGAGAGCUGUACAUUUAUUGUACGGAUACACCUGAGGGCUGGAAGGAUGGCAGAAAGUGAGCCCUGGCUGCAGAUGGAUGCUCCGCCUCCUCAGGACCUCUGGCUGAAGCGCUGGUUGGUGCUUUGCUUUGGGCCCAGACUAAUUCCCAAAGAUGCUGCUGCAGAACGCCACUGUGAACACUUAAGCCUCCUGAACAGAAAGCAUCUCGUGGUGGCUCUCCUCGUCGCCGUGGCGCUGGUUGUCAUGGGGCUCCUGCUGCUCUGGAACUACAAGUGCAUCAUGGUCUGGCACCUGUGCCGUGAGGACGGAGAUUACCCAGCUCUGCCUUCGUUUGGAAAGGGAUAAGGUGCACUGAGGACACUGGACAUGAACUGGAGUAAAUCAUGUACUGUUCACUUACUGCUCACGUGAAAAAUAGAAAAGUGCUCUUAAACCCUAUAGGCCUACGGAAGAGCUUAGUUUCUCAGGGGGUCCUGAAGUAAUUUUCUCUUUUAUGUUUUUUUUUUAUGUCUCUGUGAUUUUAUUCCCGUCCAGAACAACCAUGUACUUGUGUUACAGGCUGAAUUAUUUACUGUUUUUCUCUGAACUUCGUGCUCCUCCAGUAAUUUUAGUCCCGUCCGGACGCACAUCUCUGAGUUUCGUCUCCUCGCGUUUAAUUAAAUUGCUAAUUGUCCACUGCCGCGCACCGUAAUUACACUUUGGGCGCGCCGCGGUUUCCACGGAGAUCCAUGUUAAAAACACAACAGCGAGUGGAAAUGGAGGAGCUACUGAACAUGAUGUCAUGUGACUGAGAAAAAAAGCCUAAAAACUAAAAACUCACUGAUCCUCCUGCUUUUUUUCAUUGCAGUCCGGAUGCAGGAGUUUAAUCACUGAGUAGUAAUAAGUUUGAGAUAUUUUUCACAGACGUCCCCCUGAGAAACUAAUCCUGUCCAGAUAGGGCUUUAUAGGCUGAUUUAUGAUAAAUGUUGUGUUAGGAGUUUAAGCAUUUAAGUUGUAGCAGACAUGAAAUGAAGGAAAAAAAAAGCGUGGCUGCUUGACAAUAGUGCUGGAUGAUAAAAGUGACAAAACAUAUAUACAGAAAUGAGCACUUUAUUUAAAAGCAUUCGUCUCAGCAAUUAGAUAACUUCAGAUCAAAUUAUAUAUAUUUAUAUAUUUAUAUAAUUUAUAAAAAGAGCUGUGGUACAACUGUAGUCUAUCUGUGCCUUGUUUUACUCUGUUUUUUGAAGGUCAGGACACCAUAGAAUAGACCACCUCAGAUCUUCACCUGGAUUAACCCGGGUUCACCUGGGUUGAAACAUGAUUUAAGAAGCAUUUAAGCAUUAUUAGUAAACUAAUCUAAACACAUAAACACACACACAACCACACAUGCACACACACAAACUAGGGCAAAAGUCACUAAACACUGCAGAAUUCUACAAGUGGGUAACUGGCUCAGAGUUCAUGCUUACAUGCACACACUGCACUGAAGGGCAUAAUAAUAAUAAUACACACAAACACACACACACUAACACACCAUCUACAGACCCAUAAAGCAGAUCCAACACACAGCAUUACCAAGAAUCCCCCUCACUUACCUGCUUAACUGUGGCCAUACUCCUUCUAAUGGAAGCAUUCAGCUUCAGCUUCAGCAACAGCACUCACAGCUCUGUAAAAAAUGAAGAGAGCACUUCAGUUUCUGAAUCAGUUUCUCUGAUUUUGCUAUUUAUAGGUUUAUGUUUGAGUAAAAUGAACAUUGCUGAUUUAUUCUAUAAACUACAGACAACAUUUCUCCCAAAUUCCAAAUAAAAAUAUUAAUUCAGUCAUUUAAAGCAUUUACUGUAUUUGCAGAAAAUGAGAAAUGGCCAAAAUAAUAAAAAGAUGCAGAGCUUUCAGACCUCAAAUAAUGCAAAGAAAACAAGUUCAUAUUCAUAAAGUUUUAAGAGUUCAGAAAUAAUCAAUAUUUGGUGGAAUAAUCCUGAUGGUUUUUAAUCACAGUUUUUUUCAUGCAUCUUGGCAUCAUGUUCUCCUCCACCAGUCUUACACACUGCUUUUGGAUAACUUUAUGCUGCUUUACUCCUGGUGCAAAAAUUUAAGCAGUUCAGUUUGGUGGUUUGAUGGCUUGUGAUCAUCCAUCUUCCUCUUGAUUAUUUUUCAGAGGUUUUUAUUUUUGGUAAAAUCAAAGAAAAUCAUCAUUUUUAAGUGCUCUUUUAUUUUGUUCCAGAGCUGUAUACAUUAUUACUUAUGUAUUUAACAUUUAUAUUGUUUUCCAGAUCAAUAUGACCAAUUUUUGGGCAAAAGUGCUGCAAGAUGCCAGACAGGACCCGUGUGCCUUGAAUGCCAUAUUAAAAUAUAUAGUAUGUAAUAUAUUAAAAUAUAUUAAAAUGUUUUUUUUUUUUGUGAAUUGGCAUGACAAAACUGUAAGAACACAUAUUAAUAUAUUUAUUAGUGUGUUUAUUAACACCGUGUGCUUCUUUGGAAAACUGCCUGUGAUUAUUAGUUUGACUCAACCAGACUAAACCAAUUUUACAGCAUUCUGACUGUAGAGGGAGCCCAGAAGCAAGAAAUAAUUCUGAAAUAAUUCUGCUGCAGGAGGAAUAAAGCUCAUGCAUCUUGGGUUUUCUUCUUUCUGGUAUUUUCAUGCACUUAACACAGAUUGAGGCCUGUUGUUAAUCAGAAUGGACAUUUAUCAGCCAAUCAAAGAGCAGCUUGCCCCCGCCCACUGCACUGGACAAAAUUAAAAUCAAGCAAAUUACUGCUAUAAGUAAUUUGUGAGAUAGUAUGAAUUAAAUAUAUGAUUGUGCUGAUUUGUGAAAUAUAUGAGUAAAAUAACAGUUUUAGUAAUAAUUUUAUUUAUUUUAUCUAUUUUUGAGUGCAUUACAGACAGAAAACAGCAUUCUAUUCAAUUCUUCCAUCCAUCCAUCCAAUCAUCCAUCCAUCCAUUAUCUUCCUGUAGCAGUAGGAAACAGUACUCACCGCUCUCUGGCUUUAUCUGUAAUUUCUCUAAAGAAAAGACUUCUCCUUUUAAUAGUUAUUUUAAGAGUUUUCUGUGUUUCUGUGUCUUUUUCUAGUUAUUAUGAUGAUAAAAGUGUGAAUGUGCUGUGUGUAAGUGUGUAAAUGCUGCUGUUCCAGCACUGAUGUACUACAGAUAAAUAAAUAAUAAUUUCCAAA